UAAAAAAUUAUCAAAAUAGUGAAAGACAUGAUAAAAGAAAAAAGAAAAAAAAAAUUAAGUUACCAUUUUGCGCAAAAACACACACUCUCAUCCGGUCUCAAAAUAGAAUAAAUCACGAAAUAGAAUAUAGCUAUUAAAAAGAAAAACAAAAUUUCUGACCAAUCAAAAACAAAUACAAGGAUAACCUUUAGAGCUGUUGGAUUAACCUAAAUCUAAGGGUACAGAUUUGUUCCUUUUAUUUUAUUGUUUUUUCCUCUCUCUCUCUCUCGACACCGACAGAUCUUCUUCUUCAUUCUUCUCUUUUUUUUUGGAUUUGGUCAACAGACAACAUGUGAAGAUGAUAAUGGAGAUGACGAAGACUCGCCGGUGAAGAAGACUCGUGCGAACGCUGGAGGCUCACCGGAGAUGAAGCGCAUGAGGCUCACCGGAGAGGAACCACGAGUCUCUUUAUCUCUCUGUUUUGAUUUUGAUUUUGAGUGUGAUUUUGAUUUUGAGUGUAAAAGAAUGUAGACGAGGCAGAAGAAAAGACGAUGUUCGGUGGUGGUGCUUAAGGAAGAUUGGUGGUUCUUUUGUUGAGAAGGAGCUCGAUGGUGAAGAGGUAGCAGAAGAAGCGUGACAGAGGAGGAGACAGAAGAAGCUUUCCGGGGCUGGUGGUGGAGGAGCUGGCGGUGACCAUGACGGGAGGAGGAGAGAGCGGCGGCUUAGGGUUAGGAGUUAGGAUAGGUUUUCGGUUUAAUAGGUUUUUGGUUUAGUAUGUUUUGGUUUUAUUUAAUUUUAUUUUAAUCUGGUUUGGCUUUGUAAACCGGAUUAUAUCUGUAAACAAUUUCUAUUUUAGAAAUAAAAUUUAUUAUAUUUUUUAUUAUAAA